rnacentral:ncRNA from 1 species
UUGGCAAACCAAUUGAAAAAUUGAGACGCAAAGUCAGGUGUCUAAACGAUUAUUCGCAUGAUAGACCGGCUGCA